ACAUACUAUUGGUUUGUAGAAUUGGUGUGGUCACAUUGAUCGACUGCGUUCUSUMAUYCUGAUGAGACAUAACGUUUACGCACCCCUACCCUGGAGAGUAAAUGGAACAUUGAUGAAUUCCUUGGAGUUCGCUAAAACGUUCAACUGCCCUGUUGGAUCGCCUAUGAAUCCUAAGAAAAAAUGUCAUAUUUGGUGAGAACAGUUAUGGAUAAAGACUUCGAUAUGUUCCUGUACUAGGGACUGCUGAAGGGUGAUUAACACUGUCUUUAAGAAUAAAGGCAAAAAAACGAACAAUGCAAACAUUGAAGAUGGACAAAUGAAGUUUCAGAAAUAGAAUACUCUAGAACCGAGGACUGAAAUAACGAAGAGAGAUAGCUAAUCCUAAGCUAGUGCAUACAUAAUGUACUAUAUUAUUUAAUUUCUUCAAGGAAGUCAGCCAUUCAAUGCCCACAGCGCAUAGUAAUGUACUUUUCUCACUCUGAUGGGAGUAUCCGUUCUAUGCCCCUCCUUUUCUUCUUUCCCUUCCAAAGGAACUCUAUUUUUGGCCAAUCAUAUUGGAGCUGUUUAUAUCACGUAACUGCAGUUAAUUUUAUAUAUUUUUUCAUUAUGUAAAUAUCUUGAUUUUAUAUUUUAUUCAACGUCUAUAAGUACUUCUGAAUAAACAAACAUUUAUCAAGUGA